rnacentral:SRP_RNA from 1 species
GCCGGGCGUGGUGGCAUGCACCUGUAGUCCCAGCUACUUGGGAGGCUGAGGUGGGAGGAUCGCUUGAGCCCAGGAGGUCAAGGUUGCAGUGAGCUAAGAUCACACCACUGCACUCCAGCCUGGGCAACAGAGCAACACCCCAUCUCAA